rnacentral:rRNA from 1 species
UACGGGGGGGGGUAAGCGUUGUUCGGAAUUACUGGGCGUAAAGGGCUCGUAGGCGGCCAACUAAGUCAGACGUGAAAUCCCUCAGCUUAACUGGGGAACUGCGUCUGAUACUGGAUGGCUUGGAUCCGGGAGAGGGAUGCGGAAUUCCAGGUGUAGCGGUGAAAUGCGUAGAUAUCUGGAGGAACACCGGUGGCGAAGGCGGCAUCCUGGACCGAUACUGACGCUGAGGCGCGAAAGCGUGGGGAGCGAACAGG